UCAUGUUGUUUAAUUCGAUGAUACGCGAAGAACCUUACCAGGUCUUGACAUCCCCUGCAAAGCUAUGGAGACAUAGUGGAGGUUAUCAGGGAGACAGGUGGUGCAUGGUUGUCGUCAGCUCGUGUCGUGAGAUGUUGGGUUAAGUCCCGCAACGAGCGCAACCCUUAUUGCUAGUUACCAUCAUUGAGUUGGGGACUCUGGCGAGACUGCCAGUGAUAAACUGGAGGAAGUGGGGAUGACGUCAAAUCAUCAUGCCCCUUAUGACCUGGGCUACAAACGUGAUACAAUGGCUGAAACAAAGGGCAGCGAAGCAGUGAUGUGGAGCGAAACCCAAAAAAGCAGUCUCAGUUCGGAUUGAAGUCUGCAACUCGACUUCAUGAAGUCGGAAUCGCUAGUAAUCGCGGAUCAGAACGCCGCGGUGAAUACGUUCUCGGGGUUU
rnacentral:rRNA from 1 species